GGUCACGUCUGAUGGGCGUAUUUGUGGUGGCCUGUGUGUAGCCCUUGGACCUUUCACGUCAAGAGUAGUUAUCAACCAAGCACAAUGCAGAACGCCAAUGAAGACACAGAAUGGAACGAUGUGCUACGUGCAAAAGGCAUUCUGCCAGCAAAAGAGAAAGAAAUUACAGAACAAGACAUUGUUCAGAUGGUAGAGGACACUGUUUCCAAGAAAGUCAAUGGCCGCAGUCUGGGCGAGAUGAACCUGGACGAACUUGACGAGCUGGAGGACGACGAGGAC